rnacentral:rRNA from 1 species
AGAGUUUGAUCCUGGCUCAGGAUGAACGCUAGCGGCAGGCCUAAUACAUGCAAGUCGAACGGUGUCUUCGGACAUAGUGGCGCACGGGUGCGUAACACGUAUGCAACCUACCUUACAUUGGGGGAUAGCCUUUCGAAAGGGAGAUUAAUACCGCAUAAGACAGUAACUAGGCAUCUAGUAGCUGUUAAAGAUUUAUCGAUGUAAGCUGGGCAUGCGACCAAUUAGCUAGUUGGUGAGGUAACGGCUCACCAAGGCUAUGAUUGGUAGGGGAACUGAGAGGUCAAUCCCCCACACUGGCACUGAGAUACGGGCCAGACUCCUACGGGAGGCAGCAGUAGGGAAUAUUGGGCAAUGGACGCAAGUCUGACCCAGCCAUGCCGCGUGCAGGAUGAAGGCGUUAUGCGUUGUAAACUGCUUUUAUACAGGAAGAAACGACUCUUGCGAGAGGCAUUGACGGUACUGUAUGAAUAAGCACCGGCUAACUCCGUGCCAGCAGCCGCGGUAAUACGGAGGGUGCAAGCGUUGUCCGGAUUUAUUGGGUUUAAAGGGUGCGCAGGUGGUUUAUUAAGUCAGUGGUGAAAGACGGUCGCUCAACGAUUGCAGUGCCAUUGAAACUGGUAGACUUGAGUAAAGUAGAGGUGGGCGGAAUUGAUAGUGUAGCGGUGAAAUGCAUAGAUAUUAUCAAGAACUCCAAUUGCGUAGGCAGCUCACUUGGCUUUUACUGACACUCAUGCACGAAAGUGUGGGUAUCAAACAGGAUUAGAUACCCUGGUAGUCCACACUGUAAACGAUGAUAACUAGGUGUCGGCCGAAUCUGGUCGGUGCCACAGCGAAAGCGUUAAGUUAUCCACCUGGGGAGUACGCCGGCAACGGUGAAACUCAAAGGAAUUGACGGGGGU